GACGAACGCUGGCGGCGUGCUUAACACAUGCAAGUCGAACGGAAAGGCCCAGCUUGCUGGGUGCUCGAGUGGCGAACGGGUGAGUAACACGUGGGUGAUCUGCCUCUAACUUCGGGAUAAGCUUGGGAAACUGGGUCUAAUACCGGAUAGGACAAUCGUUUAGUGUCGGUUGUGGAAAGUUUUUUCGGUUAGGGAUGAGCCCGCGGCCUAUCAGCUUGUUGGUGGGGUAAUGGCCUACCAAGGCGUCGACGGGUAGCCGGCCUGAGAGGGUGGGCGGCCACAUUGGGACUGAGAUACGGCCCAGACUCCUACGGGAGGCAGCAGUGGGGAAUAUUGCACAAUGGGCGCAAGCCUGAUGCAGCGACGCCGCGUGGGGGAUGACGGCCUUCGGGUUGUAAACCUCUUUCGACAGGGACGAAGCUUUGGUGACGGUACCUGUAGAAGAAGCACCGGCUAACUACGUG
rnacentral:rRNA from 1 species